rnacentral:rRNA from 1 species
AAUCAACGCUGGCGGCGUGCCUCAGACAUGCAAGUCGAACGCGAAAGUUCCCUUCGGGGGAUGAGUAGAGUGGCGCACGGGUGAGUAACACGUAGGUAAUCUACCUUUGGAUGGGGAAUAACAACCGGAAACGGUUGCUAAUACCGCAUAAUGCAGCGGCACCUAAUGGUGACAGUUGUUAAAGCGGGGGAUCGAAAGACCUCGCGUCUGAAGAGGAGCCUGCGGCGGAUUAGCAGUUGGUAAGGUAACGGCUUACCAAGGCGACGAUCCGUAGCCGGCCUGAGAGGGCGGUCGGCCACACUGACACUGACAUACGGGUCAGACUCCUACGGGAGGCAGCAGUCGGGAAUUUUGGG